ACGUAGGGUGCAAGCGUUAUUCGGAAUUACUGGGCGUAAAGCGCGUGCAGGCGGGCGUGCAAGACUGAUGUGAAAUCCCCGGGCUUAACCUGGGAAGGGCAUUGGAAACUGUUCGUCUUGAGUUCUGGAGAGGAAGGGGGAAUUCCCGGUGUAGCGGUGAAAUGCGUAGAGAUGGGGAGGAAUACCAGUGGCGAAGGCGCCCUUCUGGACGGGAACUGACGCUGAUACGCGAAAGCGUGGGGAGCAAACAG
rnacentral:rRNA from 1 species